GGGGGUAUAGCUCAGUGGUAGAGCAUUUGACUGCAAAUCAAAAGGUCCCUGGUUCAUAUUCAGGUGCCCCCU